rnacentral:lncRNA from 1 species
AUCGGUUCCGGUCCGGUCCGGUCCGGUCCAACAAAAUCGGCAUUUUCCUUUUUCACUAAAGAAAAAUCAUACUCCGGACCGAUCAAUCCAAUUCAGUUCCCGGGCGUUCUAAUAAAACUACUCACACAUCCAUGCGCCACGUGCAAAAUAUUCACACUUCACUUGCGUGAAUAUCAAUCACAGUUUAUGUGUUUCACGCUUAAUUUUAAGCAUAAAAGCCAUGAACAAUUUGAUUAAAGGUUGUGCUUAGUUUAGGUUUUAUAGACAAUCUCUCUUCUAUGCUUUGAAUGUUUAGUCGAUAUUAGACUCUUUGAGGCUUGAAGUGCCUUGUUGUUUGCAAGUGAGGGGAGCAAGAGAGAGAGUGUGAGCACAAGGAACUCCUAGAGCCUUGUCUCACAUUGAGUAGAAAAUGAAACUAACAAGUAAGUUUUCUCUAUAAAUAAAGAGUAACAACAAAGCUUUGGUGGUCUCUUGGCCACAUAGAAGAUUGUUACCUCAAUUGCAAUUGUAAUUGCAAUAAGUUUCAUGUAUAAUAUUCAUAUAUUAUAUGUGUUUAUAUAUUAUAUGUAUAUAAAUUAUAUAUAAAAAAAAUUGGUCCGGUCCGGUCGGUCCGGUCGGUCCGGUUCCCACCUUGGAACCGGGAACCGGACCGCCGACCGUGGGAACCGCCCAAAACCGGCCGGUCCGGUCCGGUCCGGUCCGGUCC